rnacentral:rRNA from 1 species
GUGGGGAAUAUUGGGCAAUGGGGGCAACCCUGACCCAGCGACGCCGCGUGGGGGAAGACGGCCUUCGGGUUGUAAACCUCUUUUGUACGGGAAGAAGGAAGUGACGGUACUGUACGAAUAAGUCCCGGCUAACUACGUGCCAGCAGCCGCGGUAAUACGUAGGGGACGAGCGUUGUCCGGAAUUACUGGGCGUAAAGGGCGCGCAGGCUGUGCUGCAAGUCAGCUGUUAAAUGUCUGGGCUCAACCCGGGCAUGCGGUUGAGACUGCGGUGCUGGAGUGCUGUAGAGGCAAGUGGAAUUCCCAGUGUAGCGGUGAAAUGCGUAGAUAUUGGGAAGAACACCGGUGGCGAAGGCGACUUGCUGGCCAGCAACUGACGCUGAGGCGCGAAAGCCAGGGGAGCAAACGGGAUUAGAUACCCUGGUAGUCC